ACGGAGGCGUUCCAAAGAGGACGUCCGCACUUUCGUUAAAGUGCGGACGGUGCUGCUGCAGCUCGGCUCGGGGUGCGACGGAGCGGCGGAGGUUGCCGGAAGGAUGCCAGGGGUCGGGCGGAGAGGUCUGCAGUCGGUGGAGUCGCCGGCGACGUCGUUGCAGAGCUGCCCAAAAAACCUGCAGUUGCAGGUCGAGUUGCUGCCCAGAACCUGCAACUCGGACCUCCUCCGACCUCGAACGCUGCCCAGACCCGUCCGCCAAGCCUCCGGCCUCCGUCCGCCAAGCCCCGAGCCGCCGUCGCCGCCUGGAACGCCGCUGCUGCGUCGCCGUCCG
rnacentral:lncRNA from 1 species